rnacentral:tRNA from 1 species
GCAGAGGUGGUGGAAUGGUAGACACGCUGUCUUGAGGGGGCAGUGGACGAAAGUCCGUGAGGGUUCAAAUCCCUUUCUCUGCACCA